GAUGAACGCUGGCGGCGUGCCUAAUACAUGCAAGUCGAGCGAACGGACGAGAAGCUUGCUUCUCUGAUGUUAGCGGCGGACGGGUUAGUAACACGUGGAUAACCUACCUAUAAGACUGGGAUAACUUCGGGAAACCGGAGCUAAUACCGGAUAAUAUUUUGAACCGCAUGGUUCAAUAGUGAAAGACGGUCUUGCUGUCACUUAUAGAUGGAUCCGCGCUGCAUUAGCUAGUUGGUAAGGUAACGGCUUACCAAGGCAACGAUGCAUAGCCGACCUGAGAGGGUGAUAGGACACACUGGAACGGAGAAACGGUCCAGAAUACUACGGGAGGCAGCAGUAGGGAAUCUUCAGCAAAGGGAGAAAGGCUGAAGGAGCAACGACGCGUGAGUGAUGAAGGUAUUCGGAUCGUAAAACUCUGUUAUUAGGGAAGAACAAAUGUGUAAGUAACUGUGCACAUCUUGACGGUACCUAAUCAGAAAGCCACGGCUAACUACGUG
rnacentral:rRNA from 1 species